GAGGAAGUCCAACCGGUUGGGCGGGUUAAGCCUCGCCCUCCAGCGAAAUGGAAAAACCCUUGUGUGAGUUCUAGGGACUGAUUUUUACAGAGCCCUCUCCUGACCCGGACUAGUCCCAUUCCUCCCACUGAGCUUCUCAGAGCCCGGAUGGGGUCGAGUUCCUCGCGCUGUGCAGCGGCGAAACUGACUCCUAGGUUGAGCAACUAGUCCGGGGUCACACAACUGGGGAGUGGCCGAGCCAGGAUUUUAACACGAGUCGUCCGGCCUGCAAAAGCCAGAUUCUCUCUGCUGUUAGCGCUGCGCGCCCAGGGCCGAGGAUUCCGUUCCCUAACAGCGCAGACAGAGAACCGAGGUGCCUGGGCUGUGACUGAAAGACGCAGGCAGGGGCCACCCUUCUCAGGUGGAUGGUGCCUGCGCCUGCGGCCCCUGCGGCAGCUGAGCGUCGGCCGGAGCCGCUGGGGCUGUUACCUGAUAACAUCUAAGUGAAGAAGGCAGCUGAGAAGUUUCUCUGCAGACAGAAUGAAAAUGAACAAGCCUUUCUCAGAAGACCAAUUCAGAAAAACAGUCAACUCUUCUGUUUCUAUUCUGUUCUCAAUUUGCUGUGAGACUUUAAGUGAGCUAUUAAACAUCUUGGACCUUAUUAAAAUGGGGUGGUAAUUUCAUA